AAUUCUUGCAAUGUUUGAACCCUCAGGUGGACUAUAUUCUUGGAGACAACCCAAGUGCUACAAGUUAUAUGGUAGGCUAUGGAAACAACUACCCACAACAGGUUCAUCACAGAGCUUCCUCCACUGUCUCCUUCAAGGACAACCCUUCAUUUGUCAGUUGCCGUGGAGGCUAUGCCACAUGGUUUAGCAAGAAUGCAAGCGAUCCAAACCUCCUAACAGGUGCUCUUGUUGGUGGACCCGACGCUUAUUUAUGACAACUUUGCUGAUCAAAGAGACAACUAUGAGCAAACAAAGCCAGCUACCUACAACAAUGCUCAUCUUCUUGGCAUUUUAGCAAGACUACACGGUGGACAUAGCGGCUACAACCAGCUCCUUCCAGUGACCUUUCCAGCCCCUAAAACCCAGCCAAAGCUUGCUCCAGUUACCGGAACCACACCAUCUCAAGUUUCGUCUUCUGCACCCAUUGCCAUUGAACAAAAGAUGACAAGUUCAUGGGAUUACAAUGGCAAGACUUACUACAGAUACUCCACAACUGUGACAAACAAGUCACCCAAAACACUGAAAUUUCUCAACCUUUCAAUCUCCAAGCUCUACGGUCCUCUGUGGGGCCUGACAAAGUCGGGCGAUUCAUAUGUUUUUCCAGCAUGGCUCAACUCUCUAACAGCUGGGAAGAGCCUAGAGUUUGCUUACAUCCACUCUGCCUCUCAAGCUAAUGUCUCAGUCUCAAGCUACAAUUUGGCCUAAAAUUACGAAAAGAGGUGGCUGACACGGGUUUUUCUUGGGUUGUGAUGCG